CUGACUCUCUGCCCAGUUUGCCUUUUGGCUUAGAUCAAGUGUAGUAUCUGUUCUUUUCAGUUUAAUCUCUGAAACGUCGCUACGGCGACAAUUCAAGAUUAAUCUAAUUUUUGUACCCAGCCGCCAUACCUCUGGGCUUGCCUAUGUAUGGGGGCACAGUGUCGCCCGUAUUGCACUACCUCGGGCUGACGCGAAUACCC
rfam:Verruconis gallopava strain CBS 43764 unplaced genomic scaffold supercont1.30, whole genome shotgun sequence.